rnacentral:rRNA from 1 species
CUAAGGGCGUACGGUGGAUGCCUUGGCGCCAGACGGCGAAGAAGGACGUGGCUACCUGCGAUAAGCCUCGGUGAGGGGGAAGCACCCAUUGACCCGGGGAUUUCCGAAUGGGGAAACCCGACUGGGCAAAACCCAGUCACGGCCCGCUGAAUCCAUAGGCGGGUGCGAGCAAACCCAGGGAAGUGAACCAUCUCAGUACCUGGAGGAAGAGAAAGCAACAGCGAUUCCGUCAGUAGCGGCGAGCGAAAGCGGAACAGCCCAAACUCAGCCUUCCUCUGAGAUCUCAAAUCUCAAAUUUGAAAUUUCAGGGGAGGGCUGGGGGUUGUAGGGCGCGCGUCGGUGUAGAACCAUAGAGUUACCAAUCCAGCGGCUAACCGAACGGCUUGGAAAAGCCGGUCAUAGAGUGUGAUAACCACGUAGGUAAAAGCUGACUGGACUCUAACGCGCGUACCUGAGUACCGCGGGACACGAGGAAUCCCGCGGGAAUCUACGGGGACCAUCCCGUAAGGCUAAAUACGUGCUGGCGACCGAUAGUGAACAAGUACCGUGAGGGAAAGGUGAAAAGAACCCCUGCGAGGGGAGUGAAAUAGUACCUGAAACCGUAUGCCUACAAGCAGUCGAAGGGCCACGCUCCCGGAGCAAUCCGGGAACAAGCCUGACGGCGUGCCUAUUGCAUAAUGAGCCGGCUAGUUAUUGUCCGUCGCAAGGUUAAGCAAUGAUUCCCGCCUCGGCGGGAGGAGCGAGCCGUAGCGAAAGCGAGUCUGAACAGGGCGACCAGUGGCGGGCAAUAGACGCGAAGCGGGAUGAUCUAUCCUUGGUCAGGGUGAAAGUCGCGUAACAGCGACCGGAGGCCCGAACCGGUGUUGGUUGAAAACAGCUCGGAUGAACUGAGGAUAGGGGUGAAAGGCUAAUCAAAUUCCGUGAUAGCUCGUUCUCCUCGAAAUAGCUUUAGGGCUAGCCUCGGACGAAUGCUCGCGGUGGUAAAGUACUCGAUGGACUAGGGUCUGUUAACAGAUACCGAAUCCAACGAAACUCUGAAUGCCGCGAAGUCUUAUCCGGGAGUCAGACGGCGGGGGCUAAGCUUCGUCGUCGAGAGGGAAAUAGCCCAGACCGCCAGCUAAGGUCCCUAAGCAGUGACUAAGUGGGAAAGGAAGUGAGGUCGCUUAAACAGCCAGGAGGUUGGCUUAGAAGCAGCCAUCCUUUAAAGAAAGCGUAAUAGCUCACUGGUCGAGCGAUCUUGCGCCGAUAAUAUAACGGGGCUCAAGUCACUUACCGAAGCUGCGGAUUUGCGAUCGGCUCCGGCCGGUCGCAAGUGGUAGAGGAGCGUUGAGUAUAGUUUGAAGCGGGAUCGUAAGGGCCCGUUGACAGUACUCAAGUGACCCUGCCGGCAUAAGUAGCGAUAACGGAGGUGAGAACCCUCCGCGCCGAAAGUCUAAGGUUUCCUGAGAAAGGUUAAUCCGCUCAGGGUUAGUCGGUACCUAAGGCGAGGCCGAAAGGCGUAGCUGAUGGACAGCCGGUUAAUAUUCCGGCACUACGGCGGAGACGUUAUUACGAUGCGGGGACGCAGUAGGAUAGUGGAGUCGGCCUGAUGGCUCAGGCAACGUGCGCAUCAAGGAGGACCUGGCAGGCAAAUCCACCGGGUCGGUUUAAAGCCAACUCUGAGGUGCGUGCCGAAACUGCCCUUCGGGGUGGAUAAGUCCAUGAUUUCAUGCUGCCGAGAAAAUCCGCUAAGGAGUCUCCGACGCAGCCGUACCCCAAACCAACACAGGUAGACGAGGUGAAUAUCCAAAGGCGCUUGAGAGAACACUCGCUCAGGAACUAGGCAAAUUAGCACCGUAACUUCGGGAGAAGGUGUGCCUCGCCAGGGUUUAAAGCCCGAGGAGGCCGCAGUGAAAGGCGCUCUGCGACUGUUUAACAAAAACACAGGUCUCUGCAAAGUCGAAAACGACGUAUAGGGGCUGACGCCUGCCCGGUGCCGGAAGGUUAAAGAGAGGGGUCAUGGGGAGCAAUCCCCGGAAGCUCUGAACUGAAGCCCCGGUGAACGGCGGCCGUAACUAUAACGGUCCUAAGGUAGCGAAAUUCCUUGUCGGGCAAGUUCCGACCUGCACGAAUGGCGCAACGACAGAGCGACUGUCGUAGCGAGUGACUCAGCGAACUUGUAGUACCGGUGAAGAUGCCGGUUACCCGCACCUAGACGGAAAGACCCCGUGCACCUUUACUACAACUUAGCCAUGAAUUGCGGGAUUGUAUGCGCAGGAUAGGUGGGAGGCUUUGAACCAGGGCUUUUGGGUUCUGGGGAGCCAACGGUGAGAUACCACCCUUAUGGUUCUGCGGUUCUAACUUAGGCCCGUGAUCCGGGUCAAGGACAUGGCUAGGUGGGUAGUUUGACUGGGGCGGUCGCCUCCCAAAAUGUAACGGAGGCGCCCAAUGGUUGGCUCAGGCUGUUUGGAAAUCAGCCAUCGAGUGUAAGGGCAUAAGCCAGCCUGACUGCGAGACCAACAAGUCGAGCAGAGACGAAAGUCGGGCCUAGUGAUCCGGUGGUUCUGUAUGGAAGGGCCAUCGCUCAACGGAUAAAAGGUACGCCGGGGAUAACAGGCUGAUCGGAGCCAAGAGUUCACAUCGACGCUCCGGUUUGGCACCUCGAUGUCGGCUCAUCGCAUCCUGGAGCUGUAGAAGGUUCCAAGGGUUGGGCUGUUCGCCCAUUAAAGCGGUACGUGAGCUGGGUUCAGAACGUCGCGAGACAGUUCGGUCCCUAUCUGGUGUGGGCGUAGGAAAUUUGAGGGGGGCUGUCCCUAGUACGAGAGGACCGGGAUGGACAAACCUCUUGUGUCCCAGUUGUCGCGCCAGCGGCACGGCUGGGUAGCGAAGUUUGGAAGCGAUAACCGCUGAAAGCAUCUAAGCGGGAAGCGCGCCCCGAGAUAAGAUUUCCCAAGGAUGAAACGUGAGACAGCUACUCACGGUGAGUCCUAUGAAGGGCCGCGGAAGACUACCGCGUUGAUAGGUCGGAAGUGUACGCACAGUAAUGUGUUGAGCUUACCGAUACUAAUCGCCCGUUCGGCUUGACC